rnacentral:rRNA from 1 species
GAUAACAGUUAGAAAUGACUGCUAAUACCGCAUAAGACCACAGCACCGCAUGGUGCAGGGGUAAAAACUCCGGUGGUAUGAGAUGGACCCGCGUCUGAUUAGGUAGUUGGUGGGGUAACGGCCUACCAAGCCGACGAUCAGUAGCCGACCUGAGAGGGUGACCGGCCACAUUGGGACUGAGACACGGCCCAAACUCCUACGGGAGGCAGCAGUGGGGAAUAUUGCACAAUGGGGGAAACCCUGAUGCAGCGACGCCGCGUGAGCGAUGAAGUAUUUCGGUAUGUAAAGCUCUAUCAGCAGGGAAGAAAAUGACGGUACCUGACUAAGAAGCACCGGCUAAAUACGUGCCAGCAGCCGCGGUAAUACGUAUGGUGCAAGCGUUAUCCGGAUUUACUGGGUGUAAAGGGAGCGUAGACGGAGUGGCAAGUCUGAUGUGAAAACCCGGGGCUCAACCCCGGGACUGCAUUGGAAACUGUCAAUCUAGAGUACCGGAGAGGUAAGCGGAAUUCCUAGUGUAGCGGUGAAAUGCGUAGAUAUUAGGAGGAACACCAGUGGCGAAGGCGGCUUACUGGACGGUAACUGACGUUGAGGCUCGAAAGCGUGGGGAGCAAACAGGAUUAGAUACCCUGGUAGUCCACGCCGUAAACGAUGACUACUAGGUGUCGGGCAGCAAAGCUGUUCGGUGCCGCAGCAAACGCAAUAAGUAGUCCACCUGGGGAGUACGUUCGCAAGAAUGAAACUCAAAGGAUUUGACGGGGACCCGCACAAGCGGUGGAGCAUGUGGUUUAAUUCG